UCAAUGGGCGGAAGCCUGAACCAGCCAUGCCGCGUGCGGGAAGGAGGCCCUAUGGGCUGUGAACCGCUUUUGCCUGGGGGCAAUAAGGGCGUCGCGCACGUCCGAUGAGAGUACCAGGCGAAUAAGCAUCGGCUAACUCCGUGCCAGCAGCCGCGGUAAUACGGGGGAUGCGAGCGUUAUCCGGAUUCAUUGGGUUUAAAGGGUGCGUAGGCUGUGCGUCAAGUCGGGGGUGAAAUUCCGGUGCUCAACACCGGGGCUGCCCUUGAUACUGUCGCGCUGGAGUGCGGAUGCCGCCGGAGGAAUGAGUGGUGUAGCGGUGAAAUGCUUAGAUAUCACUCAGAACACCGAUUGCGAAGGCAUCUGGCGAAUCCGUAACUGACGCUGAGGCACGAAAGCGUGGGGAUAGAACAGGAUUAGAUACCCUGGUAUUCCACGCCGUAAACGAUGAUGGCUAACCGCCGGCGACACACUGUCGGUGGCCAAGCGAAAGCGAUAAGCCAUCCACCUGGGGAGUACGUCGGCAACGAUGAAACUCAAAGGAAUUGACGGGGGCCCGCACAAGCGGAGGAACAUGUGGUUUAAUUCGAUGAUACGCGAGGAACCUUACCCGGGCUCGAACGGCACCUGGAUCGCCCAGAGAUGGGCGAGUCUUCGGACAGGUGUCGAGGUGCUGCAUGGUUGUCGUCAGCUCGUGCCGUGAGGUGUCGGCUUAAGUGCCAUAACGAGCGCAACCCUUGCCGCCAGUUGCCAUCAGGUGAUGCUGGGCACUCUGGCGGGACUGCCACCGUAAGGUGUGAGGAGGGGGGGGAUGACGUCAAAUCAGCACGGCCCUUACGUCCGGGGCGACACACGUGUUACAAUGGCGGCCACAGAGGGAAGCUACCCCGCGAGGGGAUGCGGAUCUCGAAAAGCC
rnacentral:rRNA from 1 species